CACACACACACACACACAGACACACACACACACAGCCAGCUGACUCAGGCAGACUGAGGGGCUGGGGCUGGUGGUUGUGUUGGUGCCUGGGGCCCUGGCGGGUUUGUUUGUGGUUUGUUUGCCGGGGCGGUGGGGGGUGAGAGGUUUACCCACAGCGCUCUCCCUGGCACCAGCCUGUCCCGGAGGAGAAAAAACAGCCGUUGUUCCGAGACGGAUGCUGCUUCUUUGGGGAUGUGGCCAGGACAGAUAUGUGUGUUGACCCAGAGUGAGAUCUAAAACCUGCAUCGCAGCCUGGAGUUGGACACCCCUGGCUUAAGAGAUAAGAGGUGUAAAAUGGCAGCUGGUGGAGGUGGACAAAAGAAAGUGAUCUGUGAGCACUCGAGUAACAAAGUAUCACUCGCUACGGCUUUUGUGCAGACUCUCACAAUGGCCUCUGUGAUAUGGAUCCCUCUCAGACGAGCAAAGUGGCCACCUAUUGUGAGAGGCGAGCACGCAGGACCCGAGACGAGCCUCUCUCCUCACUGCAGCUACAGUAAUUAUGAUGAUAAUGCUUUUUUUUUUUUCAGGAUUUCAGCAAGGCUUCUCACUUUACUCAAAGGGUUUGGGAUUGGGCUGGAUUUAGGUCGACACGCUGGGAGGUGUUGAGAUUUUAGACAAGUUUCAAAAAUAAAAGCAAAAAAAAUGUUUGCUUUAUACUGAUUUUUUUAUCGCAUGAUGCUUUUUCAUAAAACUGAAUUUUGUACAGUGGUGAUGAUGAGUUUGCAUGUGGUAAUGUACUCUAAUUGAUUUAUAAAUAAUAAUAUUUGAGCUUUUAAAUGGAGCAAAGCCUACAAGGUAGUUUAAACAGAGAAAUCAAGCUCUUCCUCAUAUUGUAUAUACAACACACCCUCUUGAUUUUGAAAUGUUAUUCAGACUUAGUUUGGGGCAUUUGAGCCUUUAUUGUUGAAUCAUCUGGAAAGAUAGAAGAAAAGCCCUGGAAGAGUUCAGUUGCCACUGGCCACUUGAGUUGCCUCGUGGUGUAUGGAUCACCUACUCAACCUGAUGACC
ensembl:lncRNA